rnacentral:RNase_P_RNA from 1 species
GCACGGUGGUUCGUAACACGAACUGCGGGCAACCGCAGGAAAGUGCCACAGAAAACACACCGCCGAUGGCCUGCUGCACAGCGGGCACAGGCAAGGUUGAAAUGGCGAGGUAAGAGCUCACCGCUUUUGUGGCGACACAAAAGGCAGGGUAAACCCCACCGGGUGCAAGACCAAAUAGGGAAGUGUUUAAAGGCUGCCCGCCUGAGGCUUCCGGGUAGGUCGCACGAGGCGCCGGGUGACCGGCGUCCCAGUCAAAUGAUCAUGCCUGUAUAUGCAGGGACAGAAUUCGGCUUAUAGCCCGCCCCAAUUC